CUGGAAGAUUUCAUAAGCUGAUUGAAAUGAGUAACACAUCUAAAUAACUUUGAAACAACUCUGUGAUGAAUGUUAAAAUAUGGUUACAAAUAUCCUUUAUGGGAGAGAGAAGAAUUAGUUCUUUCUCUGUGAGUCCGAGAAGGCCUCUUGGAAGAUAUGAGAUUUGAGUGGGCCCUGAAGGAAAUGGAGGAGUUUAAUAAAUAAAUAAGAAAACUGAUACUCGGAGAAGUCAAGUAAACGGCCCAAAGUUGGAAAUGGCAGAGCACGCUGGUGUAUCUUCUUAGGGUGACUGACCUCCUCGUCUCAAGAUGGGUGCCACAGCUUGCCACGUUUUCUGGGGCUGUUCUCAACUGCAGUGCGUGCUCACACGUGUGUGUACCUGCCCAGUAAGUGUCCUGCAGUCUAGCAUUCUAGUAUAUAGUACACACAUAGUACAUAGGAAGUAUUCUGGAAUUCUGUCUUGUUAUGAAUACAGGUUUACUGUGGUCACUUGGAGAGGUGAUCAGCAAAAAAGAAGAGCUCACAAAGUGUCUUUCAUCUCACUGCAGAAACUACUAAAACCAUGAAUUUCCUUCUCCAGCUACUAAACUGAUAAACCUAUUUUUUUCCGCAAAAGAUUAAAAUUGUAUCCACAGAGGCAACCUCAAAGCAGAGUUAGUUGUUGUUCUGGAAGCAGGCUGACACAUUUUCUAGGAUUCUAGGACAAAGGGACAAUCAGCUAUAAAGUUUCUGAAUGACCUAUUCCAGGAUAUAAAAUAUAAAUCCACUUUGGAACAAGCCAUUUACCUGCAGUCCAAGACAGAAAACCAUCUUCUCAGUAGCAAAUGUCUUACCAUGGCUGCCGUCCAGAGAAUUCGAAACCAGAGCUUUGCUCUGGGCGAGGAUCCAGGAGAGUAAUUAGGAUUCCACAGCUGAAGAGCCCCAAACUUUAAGGAGGACCCAGAGGCUACACUGACUGCGUCUUCAAGCCUUUGAUGCCCAGAUGUUUAGGAAGACUUCCAGAGCAAAAGGGGACACAUUACCCAGGAUAGCUCUCACUACGACGCUGUGGGGCCACGUAAGCACGGUCACCCCGUGGCACACAGGAGGGAGCAGGCCCUGAGAGGACAGGGAACUGGCCUCCAUCCCGGAGGCACCUCCAUCUCAGGGCUGGCACCUGGGUCUUUGGAGCCUCAGCAAAACACCCCUUCCUCAACCUGGACUCCUCACCCUGGUCCGCAGAAACAGCCUCUGGGCACCCCGCUGCCAGCUGUUCCAUCCUUAGGGACACAUUUUCUCCGAUGGCCCCUCAGUUCCUCCCACAGGAUCCCUCUCCCGGCUCCACCAGCGCCUGACAGGCUGCCUCUGACCUGGCCUGGAUCCCGCCCUGCCUUGUAACGCUUUUGUGCGCUGUCCCUCACGCUGAACCUCAGGUCUGCACACACUUGCUCACUGACUCUGGACAAGUCACCUCAACUGCCUGAGCCUCAUCUUCUCAUCUAGAAACGGGGAGAACACUGAUUUCAGCGUUUGUCAUGAAAGUAAAUAAGAUGCUUUUGCAGAACCAUAAAAUCCUUUAUAAAGCAGCACUUGAUGCUCCCAGCAACCAAAGUAAAGACAGGCUGGGAGGAGGUGAGGGGCAGAAGAAGGGGCUGGGGAUGCACAGACCACUCAGGUCCUGGCUGUGACACCUUUACUUGUACAUCCCUGGAAAAAUUGCUCCGCCUUCCUGAGCCUCAGUGCUCAUCUUUGAUGGAAAUAUUUGAUCUUCUUACUAAAGUUUUUGUGAUGAUAAAAGGAGAUGAUGUAUCGAAGAUCUUAAUACAACGCCUGGCACUCAAUAACUUGUGUGGUGGUGGUGGUAUUAUUAUUAUUUUCUCUCUUGGAGCAGAGUCUUUUCUCACAAAUUUCGUGUCCCACAACAUUAAGCAUAGUGUUUUGCCAGUAAAAGGUGCCAAAAUAUAAUUUUUGAAGAAAUGAUUGAUUUUUUUUAAAUACUAUGAGAUAAUAAAAGAGAUAGGAACCACUGUAAAUUUUUAAAAGGUCUAUCUAACUAUCCUGCAUCACAAUUUUUUCCAUGUUAUAGAGAAAGUGAACAUGCCUCAAUUCUUGGGGUCCAUCCCGGUUAUUUCUCCACUUCUGAAGACUGUAGAAUAUGCUGUCUACAUACAUACAUAAUGAGAAUAUAACACUUCCUGGUCCGGUGCACAGGGAGCUUUCCAGGCUCCAUCACUCCCAUUAGAUGGGACUAUUCUUGACACAAAGGGCGCAAAAACAGAAUGUGUGACCUGGGGAGACUCGCGAUACCCGAGUGAAGACUGACGGGACAAUCACAGUCCACCGGGACGAAGGCCGUGCCAGAGGAACGCAUGCGGCCUGGUGGGAACGCGCAGUGAGGCGCACAGCCCAGCCCCGGAGGAGGAGCUGGCGUCUAGUAAGUGUGGACGGACCCCACAGGCUGGCAGCACGAGGGGAGGAGACGUACAGAGAGGCGUUCCCAGCACCUGUGAAAGGCGGACAUCUGAGAGACAAUCGCCCAUUCCACCAAGUGCAAACUCUUCUCUGCAGCUGCGAAGAGCAAGCCCUUCAUGUUGGGGCUGGAGAGUUAACCUGUGCAGUGGUUCUCACCCCGAUUUGUUAGAACCACCUGGAGGGCUUUUAAAAGGCCUAUACCUUAAGGAAAUUAAUGAAAUCGAAGCUCUGGGGGUGGGGCCUGCGCAUUGAUUUUUUUGGUUUUUUUUUUUUGACAUUUGUUGUGUGGCAGCCUUUUUAAUCCUCGUAUCCACCCUUUGAGACAGGCA
ensembl:lncRNA